rnacentral:sRNA from 1 species
UGUGGGACAGAGUGCGUGCGUGUGGUGUGUCCCCAAGGACAGGAAGGUGGCGAAGGGAGGCGAAUCCGAGUGGGUGGAGGGAGGGGAAGGGCGGGAGGAGAAAAAGGUGGGAGGAGGACCAGGUGGGAGGGUGGCGGCUCACUCAGGACCCAGCGGGGGCAGCGCGAUGAGGCGGGUGACCCUGUUCCUGAACGGCAGCCCCAAGAACGGAAAGGGCCUAAGUUGUUAAGGUAGAUAAUCCCAGUGACAUGGAAACAUCAGGCCCACAUGGUGGAGAUAACACAUACAAAUGUAAGAGACUUAAAUGAAUAUGACUGUCACACAAAAAAGGUGUGUCCUACUUCAACACUCAACAUUCAAGAAAUAUUUGUCAAAGACCUGCUGUAAGCCAGGUGGUUGCUGUAUAUGGAACUUUAUCUGAUUUGCUUUCUGUGGCCAGCAGUAAACUCGGCAUAAAAGCCACCAGUGUGUAUAAUGGGAAAGGUGGACUGAUUGAUGAUAUUGCUUUGAUCAGAUCCUCAGACAGAUUCUAAGCCUCCUGAGGGAUUGUCAGGAUUCCACACAGACUGGCUGACAUUAAAUGUUGGAGGGCGGUACUUUACAACUACACGCGUUACUCCUACCAGGUUGUAGCAUGCAUCUUUUUGAGAGAGCAGCUGGGAUCGAGUAUACUCUUGACUUAAAUAUGUUUGUUUAUAAAGACAAAUGGAGAAAUCAAUUUUUUUCCCUGAAUUCUUAGGAGCACUUUAGUGAAUAAAGAACCUGACAGUAUGCUGGCCCACAUGUUUAAGGACAAAGGUGUCUGGGGAAAUAAGCAAGAUCAUAGAGGAGCUUUCUUAAUUGACCGAAG